GACGAACGCUGGCGGCGUGCUUAACACAUGCGAGUCGAACGGUGAAGCGCUUUCCUUUUUGGUUGGUGUGGAUGAGUGGCGAACGGGUGAGUAACGCGUGAGUAACCUGCCCCCUUCUUCUGGAUAACCGCAUGAAAGUGUGGCUAAUACGGGAUAUUCUGCGCCUGCUGCAUGGUGGGUGUGGGAAAGAUUGUGCCUUUGGGUGUUUUCGGUGGGGGAUGGGCUCGCGGCCUAUCAGCUUGUUGGUGGGGUGAUGGCCUACCAAGGCGGUGACGGGUAGCCGGCCUGAGAGGGUGGACGGUCACACUGGGACUGAGACACGGCCCAGACUCCUACGGGAGGCAGCAGUGGGGAAUAUUGCACAAUGGGCGCAAGCCUGAUGCAGCGACGCCGCGUGAGGGAUGGAGGCCUUCGGGUUGUGAACCUCUUACGCCAGUGAAGCAGGCCUGCUCCUUGUGGGUGGGUUGACGGUAGCUGGAUAAGAAGCGCCGGCUAACUACGUG
rnacentral:rRNA from 1 species